AUGUUUUUUGUACUUGACAGUUUGGAGAUGAGAUCAUUUUGUUCUCUGCUUUUGAUUUGCACAUGCUCCAUGUGUGCUCCCUAUAAUCUCUGAACAGUGGCAUCAGUAAGACCUAAGCACAGCCCAUAUACCAUUGCUAGUUUCUCUCACAGCAGAGCAACCAGAAACAUGCAGCUGAGAAUUUCAUUAAGUCAUGAAAUACUCCUUGCCCUGGCCCAGCAGCAUGGUGAGAAAGCAAAAGCAGAUGGGGAACCAUUAGAAUCACCUAGACCAUCACUUCUAUAGGACAUUGAAAGGUAUUUUAAAUCUCAGAAGACUAAACAUCAAUAAGAGAAUUACUCCAGAAGUAAAUAACAGAAGAGGAAAACUUCUGCCUCCAAGUUCCCUCCCCUAUGUAGCUCCUACAUGUUUAUUUUAAGAGGGGUAGGAGUUGGCUCUCCAACACUGGAAAAUCCAGUGCCUCUGACAUGCUUCCCAUGUAUGAGGCUGGCUGCCUUCACUCUUCCCUAGCUUAGAAGGCCACGCUAAGACUGAUCCAAGUUUAGUGAAAUUUAGAUCACAUUACAAAAUACUUUUCCUUUUACCACGACCAAAAAAAGAGUAUGGAGAACUAUGGUAUUUCUCUGAUAGUCAGAAGAUCUUUUUUUUCCCAUCCUAAAUGUGUAACUUAUACUUGGCAUCUUUCAUUUGUCCAAGCUAUACAGUUUGGAGGCAAAGACAGAAAAAAAUGCAUUGUUCACAUAUUAGUUGAUUAUAUCCACCACUGAGGUGUAGCCCACGCUUCCCUUCAAACCCUAGAGGCUUAUACAGUGACAGAAAUACCAGGACCCAUAUAUUCAACAGUACUUCACAUAAAAUCUCUUGGUACAGCCAAGGAUGGUGAAAACAGGUAAAAGCCACCUCUCUGCAGGUCUAAGUGGAAUUGGUAGGGAAAAAAUAUAUAUAUUUCUUGCAGGAAUUCUGUUUUGCACUAAAAAAGAAAUCAACCACAAAGGGAACAAACAAAACACCCACCUUGAUAAUUUGCUGUAUCUAUCUACAACUGCGGCAUCGGACUUUCGUCCAAAUAAACCUAAUAAUCUCUUGGAGUGCUCUGAUUACCUGUUCUCCCUUUUGGCCACAGAAGCUGUAAAUGAAUCCUGAUUUAUAUAUUUAAAGUAACUACUAACAUACCCUGUUUCUUUUCCCUAUCCUUAAACAACUGCAGCCAGAUGCUUGGUAAAGUGAAGUUUUCACACGCUUCAUAGAACAUAACUACGAAAGAACGUCUAAGAUGCUUUAUUGCCUUAGACAUAGAGCUGAUCUCUCAGCUAAAUCUGAAUGUUACAGAACGCAUUAAGAACCACUCCGCUUUGGAGGGUUUGUAAUAUCAGCAAACUUUUUGUUUGAAGAUUUUGGAUAAUGCAAGAGUGCCAGUUUCUGGACCCUCCAGCAUUACCAGAAGUGGAAAAGGAAACCAUGUCUGAGAGAAAAGGACAGUUCUCAAAGACAUGAAAGGUCACAGUAUCAUCAGUUCACAUCCAAGCACCCAGAGAAUACAUGUCAUAGGGAAACGCAGCCUUUGUGAUCGUCAUGUUAAAAAUUGCACUCAGAUUCCACUAAUGAUGCUUUAGUGGAAUUCAGUACCCAUAUGAUUCUCUGUUCAUCUCUUACUUUGGCUUUUUGACAAAUAUUGUUCUACUCUAUUAAGCAGAAACUAAACCAACAUAAUCUGCUUUGCUGGAAGAGAUGAGCAAGCUCAAUAAUCUGCUUCCCUGAAAAGCAACGGUUUGGGUCUUUUGAGGAGUCAGCCUCAGAAGUAGUGGGGCACCUCCAGGAGGAACAGUUGCCCAGCAGUGCUGAGGCUCCUCUCCUCCCGUACCACUUUUUAUGGCCACGUACCAGCUGGGCGUUUAGCUCACAAGUUCAGAUGACUGUAUUUUUAUCUCAAAAGUUUAUCAUUGAUCUUCAGGGUCUGAAGUCCGCCUCACUGUGUUCCAGGCGACACGGAGCUUCUAACUGGUAUCCCUGGACACGCAGUUUGCUGCCAGGUGGGCUACAAAGAGGCAAACUCCAGAGCGCAAUGAUUACAAGUCUGCCAACAAACCAAUGCAGUGCUAAACCACUGCACAUCCAGAUGUAGCUACGGAGAGCACUCAGAACACUCAGCUGUAUAACUGCAUGCAGGCAUCCAUGAAGCAAGACUUCAAGAAAAACAAUUCCAAGACGACGCAGGUUGGCAACGGUUAGAACUGAACAGUACCAGCUUUUGUCAACCACCUGCAAACCUUUAAUAAGAAAUACAUAGGGUUAUUAAGGGAUCGUCUCCUUUGCUGCCUCAAAAGUCACCCUGCUUUCUAGAAGGGAUUUUAUCAUUAGGUAUUCGAUAGUAAUCAUAGCUCAUGACAACCAGGAUUCUACAUUUUUAAUAUUUCCCCUCACGCUCCAGCUUUUGGCUUUGGGAAUUUACGCCCUUAUUUGACCAUUCCCAAGCAGCGAGUUAAAGCACGUUGCAGCUGGAGCUGUUGAACUCAUUUCUGUCUCCCUUAUGGAUGGGAGUCUCUGAUAGCUGGCACUAAGCAACUUCACCUCUGGCAUCACUUGUGGUAUAUUACUUAACACGUCCAGGUCUCACACUGAAAAAAAAAGUGGAUAAAGAAUUAUCAACAGUGACCACCCCCGCCUCCUUCCCUAGAAGGGUAAAGGCAUUUGUCUCUGCAAAUUGAUAUACUUGCCUAUGGGGAAAAACAAAAACAAGAAAACAAUGGGCUAAGCAAAUUAGAAUGCAAUUAUGUUUUUGAUUUUUAAAUAGAGUCAGAAGGCCUUUAAAAACCUCUUAAAAAAUUAGACAUGUUCUAUCAGAAAGAGGAAGAACAGCUUAUCCAACUCACCUAAAACAUCUUUCACACCUAACUCAAAUCAUGGUGCCACCAAGCAAUUUUUAUUUCCCUUUGAGAAAAACCCUUAUCAAAGAGAGGUAAGUAAGGAGAACAAGCUGGGAGGGAGAAACUCACAAAUGAAAGGAGCCUGUUCCCACAGUACAUGUAAAUCUACUGAGUUCAAGACGUCCCAACUGCCAUUUUAAUUUUUCUGUGGCAAACCAUUUCAUGCUCCUCCGCACUUGAUUUUAGAGAGCAACAUGUAUUUCCCUUUGCUUUCACUUCCAUUCCUUUUGGCUUCCACCUUUUACUGCUGCAGUUUACUGACACCCGCUUUGUGGAGAAGCUGACUUUGGUGGUCACCAUAUUGAUGCUGUAAGUCAAUCCCUCCUCUUAUUGCAAUUAACAAUCAGAGGUGGUAAAAACAAGCGAUAAUUAGAGUAGAGAUGCCCUGUCACUCUCGUAAUUCUCAUCAACCCAAGAACCACGUUCUUCCUAAAGCACAGAAGUUCCAUUUGGGAACAGACCUUAGUGAUGAGUGCUAUUGAAGACUGACUUCAUUUUCCUGGAAUGCGUGUUUUCAAGACCUCAGGGGUACAAUUUUCUUGAGUUCUAUAAUUCACUGGCACAAGAGAUAAUGUUUGCGGCUGAAGAGAGGGCUCCUUUUACCCACGUGUGACUGAGAAUCAAUAGCAGUGAAACCUAAGCUUGCCUUCCACGAAAAGAACAUCUUCCACUGACUUCAGUGCAGGCAAUAUCACUUCAAGAGCUUCUUCUGUUCAGAAUUACGCCACGCAACCAGUUGAUAUGAUACAAAAACUUUUGAAGUUAAAUUCCAUCAGGACAGAAAAGCAAUGCUGACUACAAACACCUAAGGCACAAUUCCAAUAUAACUUAUGCCUCACACAGAUGCAUCUUUCAUGGAACAUACCCCUGAUAUUUUCUGAAGGACUCCAGCAGCUACUUUAUGCCAUUUCCACAACUCUGCUUAAUUUCCAGAGACGCCCAACUCCUACUACUUGCCCUUCUGACCAUGCAAACUCAAACCCCGUUCGCAUACAGUGGUUACUGUUUCCAAGCAGUGCUAUAAAACAGGCAGCGCUCGCAUCCUCACCAUCCACAUUUCCCUGCACACUGUGAACUCCGCCGUUACGCCUGUUUUCGUGACUAUGCUGGUAAUAAACUGCAGCAGACAAGAAGCAAUUCCACUGUCUGCUUUGCUGCUUCUAUUAUUAGAAUAGCAACUCCAAAACUGAAGAAUGGGAUGGAGUGCUGAAAUCCUUUUGAAGUACCUCGAGCUCAUGAGUCAGACCAUUUGCAAACAGAGCAAGCUGUACAGCACGUUCGUCCCCAGUGACAGAUAAAAUACAUUAAGCAUUAACUACCCAGAGGAACAUCAAUGCGUUUGUGAACUAAUACAAUAUCCUGAAGCUCUAAUACCUAACAUAUUGCAGAUGUUGUAAUGGACAGAAAAAAUGCUGUUCGUUUGAAGCCUAGAAGGAGACACAAAACAACAGGGCACUGUUUAAAUUUCGUCUUCCUUUGAAGAAUAAUUUUUCAAUUUUUAACACAAGAAAUGAAACACCAGAACAAGUAAAGGUUAUUAGGACACACCGAAAAUCAAACAGGCUUAAAUAUUAAAACAAAUUGCAAGGAAUUUCCAAUCACACUAAACAUGAUCUAGGUAGAAAUACACUGUCACUGAGGUCUUGGAAGAAUCGGAACCAACGGUAAGCGUACUUCAGAUGGACUGCUAUCAAUUCCCUUUGCAUUUAAAGCUGACAGUUCCGUUUUGGUCACUCACAGUUACAUUGCGGAAAGAAAUUUCGUCAAUCCACGUUUAAAAACGUGGAUUUCCAACAUUAUUGAAGACAUACAGUUUAUAGGACUGCCUUUCAGAUUACUGUAAAGCAAAAGGAGAUACACAGAUUAACUGCGGAUGACUUUUGAUGGCUAGAAGCUCCUAAACACUUGAGGGAUGGUCAAAAAGCCACAACAUUGUGAUGACAGAAGCAAAAAAAAACGUACUUAAGUAGCACAAGCAUUAAAGAGACUCUGAAUAGGGGGAAUCUCAGUUAAGUUCUUAAACAGAUGAAAGAGACAAUUUGCAGCUUAGCAAGACUGCACAGUGUCAUAUGGCAAGAAAGAAAUCUGCUCAAAGUCACAGGGCCACAAGACUGUUCAUAUGAAAAAAAGUUCUUCUGAAAAAAUUUGGUGCACUCAUGUUCUCCCGCUCCCUAGGAAGAUAGUAAUGAUUUGAAAAUCUCAAAGCAGAACCACCAAAACACACAAGAUUUUCUACCAGUUUGCACUUUGCAUCAUCCAACUCCAGAGUGCAGACAACAGCAGAAACACCACUGUCAGUUCCUUAAAUUCAGGAUAUCUUUAUGAAAAUUUCCACACGUAUGUGAGCUGGGGAACUGGUUCCCUCCUGGAUUCUAGUUAGAAAAGGUGAGAUGUAGGUUCCCCUCUGUCUGAAAAGAAUGAGAAAUAAAAAAAAAAAAAGGAGGAAAAGGAAAGUUUCAUUUACAACACAAAAAGGGGAUGUGACAGUCUGAAAUUCAGUAUGCUGACACUUGAGUUUUAAGAUGGAAUGCUGCUGGACUCAACAAUCAUCCUCUCCACCAGCCUGAAGUCCAGCUUCACAUCUUCAUCUGCAACCUGAAUGACGGGACAGAGUGCACCCCCUGCACGACUGCUGCACGUCUGCAGACAGCAUGGAGUGGGGUGGAGGUACUGGCAUGGCAGAUGGCCACACUGCUGCUCACAGGGAUCCAAGCCAGCUGAAGAAGUGAACUAGUAGGAAACUCACCACGGUCAACAAGGGGAAAUGGCAAGUCCUGUACCUGGGGAAGAUUUGCAGAAAAAGUCCUACGGUCCUGGACAGCAUUCAGAAGAGCACUGCCAGUAGGUGGAGGAAGCAGCAUCGUUCCUCUCCUCUCAGCACUAGGGAGGCUGAACCUGGAGCCCUGGGUAAGGAGUGAGUUCAGCAAAGGGCCACUAAGGUUGAUGAAGGACUGGAGCAUCUUUCAUAGAAGAAGCAGAGGGAACUGGGACUGUUCAGCCUGGAGGGAGAAGGCUCAAGGAGAGUUGUUUUAUCCAUGUAUAAAUACCUGAUGGGGGUGCAGGGAGCAGGGUAAAGAAGACUUAGCCAGCCUCCUUCCUAUGGUAUCCAGUAACUGGUUGAGAGGCAACAGGCACUAACCAGAAUACACAAAAUCCUGCUUCAACACAAGAAAAAAAGAACAACUUUUUCACUUUUUCACCCUCAGGUGGUCAAAUACUGACACACUUUGCCCAGUGAGGUUGUAAAGUCUGUUACCAACAGCUACAACAGAACAUACCACUUUAUCCCAUGGCAUGAAAAGGAAUAUACUUUACAGUCAGAAGGCACGCUGGAAAUAAAAGUGGGCAGGGUCUUCCUGUCUUAUUGCUGCAGAACUGCAACAAAGAUGUAAAUGCACGUGGAGAAUAAUUCAGCCCUUAGUUACGGAGGAUGCAGAAUAUGCUUAACCUGUGAUUGUAAGAUCCAGGCAAAAAAAGUGGGUCCAGCCAUUGUGUUCACUGUUACAAAGUCUUGAGAUAUUUAUCCAAAGUUAUAGAACUUCAGAUCUAUAAUAGCAAACAUGGCAAAGUAAACUACUCUAUUGAGACUGUUCUGUCUGCACGUCAAAUACCAAGCACGUGGCAGUUACAUCUCAUUUAAGCAACUUCUGGUUACUCCAACACCCAAACAUUCAAAUUACUACUUAACAUUCGGAUACAGCUAUCGGCCACCUUUAAAUGCAAAACUUAAAGACUGGAGUAGUGACAAGUAAACAAGAAGGCAUGCACACUUCCUUCUAAAUUGUAAAACAGGAGGGCCACAAUUAUUUUCCAUACCCUCUUUUUCCAAGAUUUGUUAUCUUUCCUAUUAGCAAGGUGCUCUAAUAUUUGAGAAGCAAAACAAAGCCACUGCAAGAUCAUAUAAGUGUAUGUGCUGGUCAUUAAAAAAAAAAAAAAAAAAGUAAGCAGAGGAGGCAAGACAGCUCUAUCAGAGAUAUCAGAAGAAGCAACAACAGCUGGACCGGAACCAACCCUCAUGGAUCUGUGGUCUGCUAGGCUGGAAGAGCUGCCAGGCAAGUCCCUUCAGCCCAACACACAGAGCAUACCCUGCACGAGCCACCCAAGCUGCCUUCCAAAUGGAUGAGCUGCUUUGAAACAAACUAAAAACAAACCAACAGAAAACCCUUGUUAGAAAUGUUGUGGUCUUUAGACCAUGGCAAGCAUGGUGUUUUGUACUUCAGUGCUUCAGAAUGUGUCAAAAACAUGCAACUUCCCACACACCCCUGCAGAACCACUACUUGGGCAGGGACAGGGUGACAGCUGUUAGACUUGCUAGUGGGUUUUGAAUUUGUUUAGGGAAAACAAAUUUUAAGAAAAUAAGGAAUGUAUUUUCUAAGAGAGCUCUCUGAAAGCAAACCUCGGUCACAACUCAACUACUGCAUCUAACAAUAACCUGAGCUGUCUUUCAGCAGAGCCAUCUGCCCACACGGCAGAAUCCACCCGGGGGCAUUAUCACAAACUACAAUGCUAUUGCUACAGUUUCCUUUUGAGUCACUGGCAACGGUAUGCAUUACUAAUUCGAUGCUGCUGCUUGUCUUUCCAGAUGUGAAAUUCCCUGUGAGGCCAGAAGAGAGUCAUUCAUAAGUCACUUCAUUUCCAUCCACUGUUAAGGCCGCUCAAAAAGCACAGCUACUGUAUCACACACCCUAGAAAAGCUAAUCCAUAAAGGACUAAAGCACACCUUCCUAGUCGGGUUUCAGGGCAGACAGGGACCAGAGAGCACACCAAGGUUCACAGCUCCAACUAAGGGGAUACUUCUCAGAUUGUGUAACCAACACCAAGCAUCAGUAUAUCCGAACCAACGGUGUGAAAAAUGCCCUUAGGGUAAUGGUCUAUGCAAAGCAAAUGACUUGUGAAACAUCACUCCUGUUUCCUCCAGAGAGGAAAAUACCCCUUUCAAAGCAGGGGGAGCGGCUGAAACCCGCUUUGCAGCCUCAGCUGUUAAAUUUGAGGACCUUGAUCAAAAGAGAAACAGGAGAAAUGCAAGAAGCAAACCAGCUGGUCUAGUGCCAGCUGGCUAAAGCAACCAACCAGCCCUCCUACAGGACCACAGCACUCCCAUCGCUC